rnacentral:rRNA from 1 species
AACGAACGCUGGCGGCAUGCCUAACACAUGCAAGUCGAACGAGACCUUCGGGUCUAGUGGCGCACGGGUGCGUAACGCGUGGGAACCUGCCCUUAGGUUCGGAAUAACUCCCCGAAAGGGGUGCUAAUACCGGAUAAUGUCUUCGGACCAAAGAUUUAUCGCCUUUGGAUGGGGCCGCGUUGGAUUAGCUAGUUGGUAGGGUAACAGCCUACCAAGGCGACGAUGCAUAGCUGGUCUGAGAGGAUGAUCAGCCACGCUGGGGCUGAGACACGGCCCAGACUGCUACGGGAAGGAGCAGUGGGGAAUAUUGGACACUGGGCGAAAACCUGAUACAGCAGUGCCGCGGGAGUGAUGAAGGCCUUAGGGUUGUAAAGCUCUUUUAGCCGGGAUGAUAAUGACAGUACCGGGAGAAUAAGCUCCGGCUAACUACGUG